CCUCAAUAAACCAGAAUCCUGUUUUACCCUGAAGACGGAGCUUGGUCUCAUGUUUGGGGGGAUUGCUACUUUGGAGUAUUCUUUUGCCUGUUCCAGGAGAGAAGGAUUUCGGCUGAUUCUCAGUUCGGGGAAUUGGAGUGUUUGUGAGCUGCUAGUCCCGUAUCGAGGAGAGAGGUCUUUCGUAUAAUUAUCCAGUUCGGUGAAUUGAAGC